AUGUUCCACACCGGCCACGGUAGUGAUGUGCUGCACGCGCAGUUCAUGCCCUUAUCGCACGACCGGAGCAUCGUCACCUGCGGCGCUGAUGCGGAGGUAAGGCAUUCGCACGUGCAACAAGGGGGGUCGGUGUUGACGGAUAAGCUUGCGAACCUGGGGUGCAUGGUGCACCAGCUUGCUGUUGAACCUGGCAGUCCUCACAAGUUCUUUAGCUGCGUGGUUGAUGGCUCCGUUUGGCAUUUUGACCUCAGGGAGAAACAUCCCAGGAAGCUCUUUAGUUGUGGUGCGGUUAGAAGGUUUGAUUACUUAUCAGGCGAUACCAUGUACCUCUGUGCCAUUGCCGUAGACCCAAGAAACCACUCUUGUUUUGCAGUUGCCGGAGGUGAUGAGUACGUACGGUUGUAUGAUGCCCGUAAGAUUGAAAUGGAAAGGUCUAAAUUUGGCCUCCCGGUUGAGCAAUUCUGCCCUCAACAUUUGGUUUCCGAGAAGGGAGAUGUGAUCACUGGUUUGGCUUACUCACAGACCGGCGAGCUUUUAGCAUCCUAUCGUAACGACAGCAUCUACCUUUUCGAGAGAGAACAUGGGUUGUACUUCAACGAUUUUGACGAAUUUCACAGUGAGAAGUUACCUGUACCUCGGAGCUUCAAGGGACACCUGAACAUGCAAGUUCUUAGAGGUGUUAGCUUCCUUGGUCCCAACUGUGAGUAUGUUGCCUCUGGAUCAGACUGUGGCCAUGUAUUUAUUUGGAGAAAGAAGGAUGGGGAGCUUAUCCGAAUGUUGAAAGGAGAUACACGGAGUGUGAACUGCGUUGAACAACACCCUCAUGAGAUUGUUAUUGCAAGUUGUGGCACCAAUACAGACAUCAAGAUUUGGGCACCUGGUGAUAGUGAGAACCCCUCCACUGCUCCCCUUGAUGAGGACUUUGUUGACGAAGGUGACUAUAUGUUAUCCGCGCGUUAUGAUUCAUCGUCGUCUGAUGAGGAUGAGGAUGAGGAUGAGGAUGAGGAUGAGGAUGAUGAUGAAGAGGAUGACGACUAUGGCGAUGAUGAUGAAGAUGAGGAUGAUGGCGAAAUUUGGACAGAUAUAGAGAUGCAGAUGGGGAGAAACUUACUGAAGCCGAUAGCGGAUAUAUGA
rnacentral:rRNA from 1 species